rnacentral:rRNA from 1 species
GAUGAACGCUGGCGGCGUGCCUAAUACAUGCAAGUCGAACGAACAGACGAGGAGCUUGCUCCUCUGUCGUUAGCGGCACACGGGUGUGUAACACGUGGAUAACCUACCUAUCAUACUGGUAAAACUUCGGAACACCGGAGCUAAUACCGGAUAACAUCUUCAUCCGCAUUGUGCAACAGUGAAAGACGGUCUUGCUGUCACUUCUAGACGUAUCCGCGCCGCGUUAGCUGGUUGGUAAGGUAACGGCUUACCAAGGGACCGAGGCGUAGCCGAGCGGAGAGGGGGAGCCGCCACAAUGGAAUGGAGAGACGGACUAGACUCCUGCGGGAGGCAGGAGUAGGGAAUCUGGCAGAAGGGGGGAAAGUCUGACGAAGCAAGGCAGCGUGAGGGAGGAAGGUCUCCGGAUCGUAGAAGGCUGUUAUGAGGGAAGAACAAAUGUGUAAGGAACUAGGCACGUUGUGACGGUACCUGAUCAGAAAGCAACGGCUAACUACGUG